rnacentral:rRNA from 1 species
GACGAACGCUGGCGGCGUGCCUAAUACAUGCAAGUAGAACGCACAGUUUAUACCGUAGCUUGCUACACCAUAGACUGUGAGUUGCGAACGGGUGAGUAACGCGUAGGUAACCUGCCUGGUAGCGGGGGAUAACUAUUGGAAACGAUAGCUAAUACCGCAUAAUAUUAAUUAUUGCAUGAUAAUUAAUUGAAAGGUGCAAUUGCACCACUACCAGAUGGACCUGCGUUGUAUUAGCUAGUAGGUGAGGUAACGGCUCACCUAGGCGACGAUACAUAGCCGACCUGAGAGGGUGAUCGGCCACACUGGGACUGAGACACGGCCCAGACUCCUACGGGAGGCAGCAGUAGGGAAUCUUCGGCAAUGGACGAAAGUCUGACCGAGCAACGCCGCGUGAGUGAAGAAGGUUUUCGGAUCAUAAAGCUCUGUUGUAAGAGAAGAACGGGUGUGAGAGUGGAAAGUUCACACUGUGACGGUAUCUUACCAGAAAGGGACGGCUAACUACGUG